ensembl:lncRNA
AGCAAUGCUACAGUUGUGGCCCAGAGGAAGUAAAACAAUGUGCUUUUCAACUAACCAAUAACACCUACACAAUCUUAUAACAGCAAGUUUCAGGGAAAAAGAUUGAAUCUGGGGCUAGCCUUUGGGGGGCAUGCAAAAGAUGUUUGGCUGCAUGGACACGUUAUCCACCAAGGCUGGAUGUCGCCAAGGAUGCAGCUUCAAAGGAUGUCUAUUCCUCUGAAAGUAGAGCAAAAUUCAAUGGUACCAGCUCUAACAUCCUUGCAGAGGCACAGCCCAUGCCACUGCCUGCCAUCGCUCCAGCAUCACAGUCUUUGCUAGACAGGAUGGUCUUAGAGGACAAAAGAGAAGUAUCUCCACUGAUGAAAGGGAAUAGGUUUGCUGUUAUUGGAUGAAGAUUAUUUCUCUGCUGGUUCAGAACGGCACAGAGAGAUAUAGGGAUUCUUCUGGAAAUUACAGCAGCCCAGCUGGAAAUGUAAGAUAAUAUCCAAAAUAAUUAAGAGCUCCUCACACUAUAUUUCCUGCUUGCAUUCUGUCUCCAAGACAUCUUCCAUGGGAGCAAUUCAGCUCUAUGUAUACACUGGGACCAAUUCUGCCCUACUGAAAAUACGUGGAAUUUCAUGGCUGACUUCUCCAGGAUCAGGAUCAGUCCACAGAGUGCCCAAUUGCAAAUUUGGUUCCAUCCAUGAAGGCCCUGGUGCACCAGCCCCAGAAGUUUCUUCUCCCUCUCUCCUUAUGCAUAUGUAUAUGGCAGUGUGUCUGAGGUGAGAAAAUUCAAGAUCUGAUGGCACCAAAGAUUUCUGCAAAGCCUGGUGAAGACCACAGCAGUUGACCAGUGGAUUUUCUACCCAAGGAUUGCUGAUCCAAAGGGGCUCCUUGGCAGCAUGGUGGGAGAGAUACGUGGCUGAUUGUCCUGCACAUUACAAACAACAGGGUAGCCUUCCCAUAGCAGUGAUUCCCACCUGGGAGGAGCUGACAGACUGGGAGAGGACUUGUCCACAUUUACACUGUGUCCCCAGUGCACUGUCCCAUAGUCACCUAACAGUCAGGUAAACUCUUGGGGUUUGACAUCUCAGCACCACUGGGAGGUGCAUGGGCAGUCAAAGGCCAGUGUUUGGGUGAGAAUGGGGACCCAGCCUGUGGGUCAGUGUGGAUAUACACAAUGUCGAGUCAGUGCUAAGGACUAGGAUGGCUAGAAACCAGUGCAUUUCCUACAGGAAAUGUGGUGUGCAUUCAUUAUGAAGUAAUGUCACGUUGAGGAGCCAUACAACAAAAGCAACAGCAGCAUACAAUUUAGGAAAUUUCACAAUUGGAUUAAUUAUCAAGACAUAUUGUGGAUGAUAGCAAAUAUAUGGCUGGUUAGCUUUGGCAUAAUACAAAAUAAAUGUAGACAUUAAUAAAUAGCUAUGCAUUUCUGCCAUAACUUUGAUGUUAAUUGUACAUUAUGUGUUCUAUAAUAGAUGAGCUGUUUUUCUAUUAAAUGAACAUAUUGCACAAAGUAUUUAUUAUGUUUUCUCUCUGUCUACAAAAAGAAUAAAAUGCAAUAGCUCACC